rnacentral:sRNA from 1 species
CUUUUAUGACUCAAUAACUUUUAGAUUAUGAGAACUUGGCAUGUGAUACCUUUUCGGAAAGCCCAGAGAGAGCCCUCCGACGAAACAGGAAGGACAAUGAAAUUUUUCCAUUUUUUUU